GCAUCCGGUAAGACGGAAGUAGCAGCAUAUUCGAUUCUGUGUGGAAGUCUGUUACAAUGUGAUCUGCCCGGUACAUGUAACGUUCAUAACUACUAUACGUUUUAAGGAAUAUAUUGCUGUCACAUGUACACUGGGAGAGUAGUUAGUAGCGGCAUCACCAGUGCCAUUUAAUGCGAGGGAGUGCUUAGACACAAGGGCGUUUCAAGUACAUAAGGAAUGAAGCCAAAGUUCGCGUUCACAUUAAGCGACUGAAGUGCCAUAAUAUUUUGAACUGAAAGACAUACCUGCCAGCCUCGAAGAUGCUUGGACUUUGACUACUGGAGAGAGAGAGCGAAAGAUACAAGAUGGCGUCGACCUUCGCUGUAGGACUUGCAGUGGGGGGAGCAGUUGCAGUAGUUGCCAUCAUUGUCACCGUUAUUAUAGUUCUGCUGUGCCGCAGAUUUUGUUUACGAGAGAAGAGCAAUUCUACAGCAUAUGAAGCUAUAGGAGAUUUCAAACCCACAUCUCAGGCCCUUGUCACACCCUCACCAAGUCAGGAAUCUAUGGGCUUGCCUCACCAAAGAAACGUCCAGCCACGCGCAAAGUCAACAUUUGGAACUGGCCCGAGUAUGUCUAGAGAAGCGUUGCUCAGUGUCAGCGACAGCGGGAGCAUCAAGUCGGUGCAAAGUGGGCGGAGUGAGUCGUCUGUUACAAGUGGAGAUAUUAGCAGUACCAGCGUAGACGCUGGAUUAGGUAUGAUUUUCUAUUU
rnacentral:misc_RNA from 1 species